rnacentral:rRNA from 1 species
UACGUAGGGUGCAAGCGUUAAUCGGAAUUACUGGGCGUAAAGCGUGCGCAGGCGGUUUUGUAAGUCAGAUGUGAAAUCCCCGGGCUUAACCUGGGAACUGCGUUUGAAACUACAAGGCUAGAGUGUGGCAGAGGGGGGUGGAAUUCCCAGUGUAGAGGUGAAAUUCGUAGAUAUUGGGAAGAACACCGGUGGCGAAGGCGGCUCACUGGCUCAUUUCUGACGCUCAGGCGCGACAGCGUGGGGAUCAAACAGG